ensembl:miRNA
UGCUGCUGGCCAGAGCUCUUUUCACAUUGUGCUACUGUCUGCACCUGUCACUAGCAGUGCAAUGUUAAAAGGGCAUUGGCCGUGUAGUG